rnacentral:rRNA from 1 species
CUUGGUCAUUUAGAGGAAGUAAAAGUCGUAACAAGGUUUCCGUAGGUGAACCUGCGGAAGGAUCAUUAUUGAAAUAAAUCUGAUGAGUUGCUGCUGGUUCUCUAGGGAGCAUGUGCACACUUGUCAUCUUUAUAUCUCCACCUGUGCACCUUUUGUAGACCUGGAUAUCUCUCUGAGUGCUAGUCAUUCAGGUUUGAGGAUUGACUUUAUGUCUCUCUUUACAUUUUCAGGCCUAUGUUCUUCAUAUUACCCCAAUGUAUGUCACAGAAUGUAAUCAAUGGCUUUUUGCCUAUAAACCUAUACAACUUUCAGCAACGGAUCUCUUGGCUCUCGCAUCGAUGAAGAACGCAGCGAAAUGCGAUAAGUAAUGUGAAUUGCAGAAUUCAGUGAAUCAUCGAAUCUUUGAACGCACCUUGCGCUCCUUGGUAUUCCGAGGAGCAUGCCUGUUUGAGUGUCAUUAAUAUAUCAAUCUCUUCAGCUUUUGCUUGUUGAGUAUUGGAUGUGGGGGGNCCUUUUUGCUGGUCUUCAAAGGUCAGCUCCCCUGAAAUGCAUUAGCGGAACAAUAUGUGGACCGUUCAUUGGUGUGAUAACUAUCUACGCUAUUGACGUGAAGCUGUUCAGCUUCUAACAGUCCAUUGACUUGGACAAUUUUUCAUUAAUGUGACCUCAAAUCAG